rnacentral:rRNA from 1 species
AUUGAACCCUGGCGGCAUGCCUUACCCUUGCAAUUCAAACGGUAACAGGUCUUCGCAUGCUGACAAAUGGCCAAACGGUGAAUAAUACAUCAGAACUCGCCUAGUAAUGGGGGAAAACUACUCGAAAGAGUGGCUAAUACCCCAUGACAUCUACCGAUGAAAACAGGGGAUCCCUCGACCUUGUGCUACUAGAACGACCCAUGGCCGAUUAAGUAGUUGGUGGGAUAAAAGCUUACCCAGCCCACCAUCUGUAUCUGGUCUGAAAAGACUAUCCGCCCCCCUGGGACUGAAACACCGCCCCGACUCCUUCCGGAGGCAGCAGUGGGGAAUUUUGGACAAUGGGCGCGAGCCUGAUCCACCACUGUCCCGUGCAUGAUGAAAGCCUUCUCGGUAUGUAAACUGCUUUUGUACGGAACGAAAAGCCCUGAGUUAAUACCCUGGGGUCAUGACGGUACCCUAAGAAUAAGCACCGGCUAACUACGUGCCAGCAGCCGCGCGUAAUACAUAAGGUGCCAGCGUUAAUCCGAAUUUCUGGGCGUAAAGCGUGCGCAGGCGGUUUUGUUAGACAGAUGUGAAAUCCCCGGGCUCAACCUGGGAACUGCCUUUGUGACUGCAAGGCUAGAGUACGGCAGAGGGGGAUGGAAUUCCCCGUGUAGCAGUGAAAUGCGUAGAUAUGCGGAGGAACACCGAUGGCGAAGGCAAUCCCCUGGGCCUGUACUGACGCUCAUGCGCGAAAGCGUGGGGAGCAAACAGGAUUAGAUACCCUGGUAGUCCACGCCCUAAACGAUGUCAACUGGUUGUUGGGUCUUAACUGACUCAAUAGCGAAGCCAACGCGUGAAGUUGACCCCCUGGGGAAUACCGCCCCCAGGGUGAAACUCAAUGGAAUUGACGGGGACCCCCACAAGCGGCGGAUGAUGUGGUUUAAUUCGACGCGACGCGAAAAACCUUACCCACCUUUGACAUGUACGGAAUCCUUUAAAGAUAGAGGAGUGCUCGAAAGAGAGCCGUAACACAGGUGCUGCAUGGCUGUCGUCAGCUCGUGUCGUGAGAUGUUGGGUUAAGUCCCGCAACGAGCGCAACCCUUGCCAUUAGUUGCUACGAAAGGGCACUCUAAGGGGACUGCCGGUGACAAACCGGAGGAAGGUGGGGAUGACGUCAAGUCCUCAUGGCCCUUAUAGGUGGGGCUACACACGUCAUACAAUGGUUGGUACAAAGGGUUGCCAACCCGCGAGGGGGAGCUAAUCCCAUAAAGCCAGUCGUAGUCCGGAUCGCAGUCUGCAACUCGACUGCGUGAAGUCGGAAUCGCUAGUAAUCGUGGAUCAGAAUGUCACGGUGAAUACGUUCCCGGGUCU